rnacentral:rRNA from 1 species
GACGAACGCUGGCGGCGUGCUUAACACAUGCAAGUCGAACGGAAAAAGCAUGCUCUGGUGGGGUGAACGAGGGGCAAAGGGGAGUGACACAUGUGCAUAAUCCGCCCCUCACUGUGGUAUACACGCAAGACAGUGGGGAAUAUAGAAGACAUCGGCACUUCCGGAUGGGAGGGGGGAGGAAAGUUUCGGCGGUUGGGGAUGGACUCGCGGCUUUUAAGCUUGUUGGUGGGGUAGUGGCUUACCAAGGCAUUGACGGGUAGCUGGUUUGAGAGAGUGACCAGCCAGAUUGGGACUGAGACACGGCCCAGACUCCUACGGGAGGCAGCAGUGGGGAAUCUUGCACAAUGGGCGGAAGCCUGAUGCAGCGACGCCGCGUGCGGGAUGAAGGCCUUCGGGUUGUAAACCGCUUUCAGCUGUGACGAGGCGUGAGUGACGGUACCUGCUGAAGAAGCACCGGCUAACUACGUG